rnacentral:miRNA from 14 species
CCGCCCCGGCUAGGGGGUGGGCUGGGCUGGGCUGGCCGCAGGAAACCUGCUCAGCCGCUUCCCUUCCUCCUGCCCU